UGGGGAAUAUUGGACAAUGGGCGCAAGCCUGAUCCAGCCAUGCCGCGUGAGUGAUGAAGGCCCUAGGGUUGUAAAGCUCUUUCGCCAGGGGCGAUAAUGACGGUACCUGGAUAAGAAGCCCCGGCUAACUUCGUGCCAGCAGCCGCGGUAAUACGAAGGGGGCUAGCGUUGUUCGGAAUCACUGGGCGUAAAGCGCACGUAGGCGGAUCUUUAAGUCAGGGGUGAAAUCCCGAGGCUCAACCUCGGAACUGCCUUUGAUACUGGAGGUCUCGAGUCCGGGAGAGGUGAGUGGAACUGCGAGUGUAGAGGUGAAAUUCGUAGAUAUUCGCAAGAACACCAGUGGCGAAGGCGGCUCACUGGCCCGGUACUGACGCUGAGGUGCGAAAGCGUGGGGAGCAAAACAGGAUUAGAUACCCUGGUAGUCCACGCCGUAAACUAUGGAUGCUAGCCGUUGGGCAGCUUGCUGUUCAGUGGCGCAGCUAACGCUUUAAGCAUCCCGCCUGGGGAGUA
rnacentral:rRNA from 1 species